rnacentral:rRNA from 1 species
GACAGAGGGUGCAAACGUUGCUCGGAAUUACUGGGCGUAAAGCGCGUGUAGGUGGAUUGGUGUGUCAGAUGUGAAAGCCCUGGGCUCAACCCAGGAACUGCACCUGAAACUACCAGUCUUGAGUGGUGGAGAGGGAAGUGGAAUUCCUGGUGUAGAGGUGAAAUUCGUAGAUAUCAGGAGGAACACCAGUGGCGAAGGCGGCUUCCUGGACACCAACUGACGCUGAGACGCGAAAAGCGUGGGGGAGCAAACAGG